rnacentral:rRNA from 1 species
GACGAACGCUGGCGGCGUGCUUAACACAUGCAAGUCGAACGGAAAGGCCCUGCUUUUGUGGGGUGCUCGAGUGGCGAACGGGUGAGUAACACGUGAGUAACCUGCCCUUGACUUUGGGAUAACUUCAGGAAACUGGGGCUAAUACCGGAUAGGAGCUCCUGCUGCAUGGUGGGGGCUGGAAAGUUUCGGCGGUUGGGGAUGGACUCGCGGCUUAUCAGCUUGUUGGUGGGGUAGUGGCUUACCAAGGCUUUGCAGGGUAGCCGGCCUGGGAGGGUGACCGGCCACAUUGGGACUGAGAUACGGCCCAGACUCCUACGGGAGGCAGCAGUGGGGAAGAUUGCACAAUGGGCGGAAGCCUGAUGCAGCAACGCCGCGUGCGGGAUGACGGCCUUCGGGUUGUAAACCGCUUUCGCCUGUGACGAAGCGUGAGUGACGGUAAUGGGUAAAGAAGCACCGGCUAACUACGUG